AAAUUAACAAUUUUAUGCAAAAAAAUUUUUGAGUGCAAGUUCCCUAUUGAUUUUGAUCCCUUAGAUAGGUGAAUAGUAUUGCUGAAAAUACACAGCCCUGUCUCAGUCCUCUACUUAUCUAUUGAGCAUCCUUGCUACACAAAACUGUAAUUUUUGGGAGUAACACUCACAUAUUUACAUUCAUUUUAUGUAUAUUUGUUUUUGUAUUUAUUUUUAUUUUUCUGUAAUGCGCUAUAAUCAUUUAUAAUUAAUUAUAUUGUCCAUGUAAUUCAUAAGCCAAGUAAAUAAAUUAGUAGAGAAUUUAACAAAAUCUCUUAAAUAAUUUUUCAAGUGAAUUUAACUAAACUAUAACGUAUUACUAAACGAGCCUAACCGAGUCAAAACGAGACGCAACCAGAUAUUACAAAAACAAGAAAUUACAACAAUAUGAAAAUAAUAGUUUGUUGUACUGCGAAGCUACCUGGAACUAGGAGGCGCAAGUCUACCAUCAAACAUCAACAUCAAUAGUCUGGUUCAAAUCAAUCAGUCAUCAUGUCCGAUCUACAAAACACAACAUCCGCUGAAGAUGAUCCGCUAGAAGACAUCGAUAUCAAGGCAUUUUACGACCAACUAAAAGAAAUAACUGACGCCUUAAGCUAUUUGAACUAUUUCACUGACACAAUAAAACUCUUACUAUGUCUUUUCAUAAUAGUCGCAGAUAUCAUCAUAAUCAAACUAAUUCUGAGCGACACAAAACUAAAAACAAAAACCAACUU
rnacentral:misc_RNA from 1 species